CCCACCCGCGGCCGCCCCCGCGCUGCGCCAGCUGCGGGCAGAGCAGCUCCCUCCGCAGCCGGCGCCCGGGAGCACGAGCGCGGGGAGCGGGCGGCGCGAGAGCGCGGGGAGCGAGCGGGAGGGCGCGGGGCGAGCAGCAGAGGGUGCGGGGCGAAGGUGCCGCGGGAGAGGGCGGGCCAGGCUCUCUCUGGAAAUGGAGAUGGCAGCCAGCAGCCCCAAAGAUGAUGUGGCUGCCUCAUGAAAACCCAUUUGGCGACUCUUAAGAGCUGCGAGGAUGUUGAUCAGCGGAACCUGACGGUGAACGUGCCUCCUUCACCCAGUCACCCUGCGGGAACCACUAGGAAUAUCCGAGUCCUCUGGCUUCCAGUGGGACCUUCUGUCUCUGAGAAGAUAGCCCCAGGGUCCAGAAUGACCAGGGCAGGCAGGCAGCCAGACUCAAACAAGUCCACCACAGCAAGGCCACAGGUGGCAGGUCUGUGCGGAAGAUCUCCAGGGGCCCCUGGCACCUCUUGAAGAGACCGAAGACCUUUCUUACUCAUUCAGUGAGUUUCUGGAACACCUACUAUAUGCUGGAUGUCAUCAUUGCUCUGGGCACUGUGAUGGUCCCUGCCUGGUUGGAGCUGGCAUUGUCAUAGCGAGUAAACAGAAAAGGAAGAUGUCAGAAAAAGAGUUCAAGCGUUCAGCGGCUACCGAUCCCUGGAGGAUAGUACAGUAGGGCAAAGAGCUAUGAAAUGCGGUUGUAGCCGUUGAAGGGUUUAUUUGGGGUGGUCCGGCGAAUCUUUGAUGAACGGGCAUUUGAACAAAGACCUGUCGGAGCCAAGCCAUGCUGGCUCUGAAGAGUGAGCAUCUCAGGCCCGUGGAGGACCAAGUGCAAAGGUCCUGAGGUCCAGGACCCCUGGAAGGAGGCCAGAGUGGGUGGAGUGGAGAAGAGACCCCAGGAUGUGCUGAGUGACAGAGCAACUGACCUGAUCACCACUAACCUGUUCUUAACGCAGAGAAAGCCGAGGAGCUGCUGGAGGGUUUUACACGGUGAUGUCAUGACCUCACUUUUUCAACAGUACUUUAUGGAAAAUGUCAAACAUUUACUGGAAUGGAGAUCGAGGCUGAACAUACAGUUCAGUGGUAGAGUUUGCCUCAUAUGCUUAAGGCCCUGGGUUAGAUGUCCACUGGUGGUGAUGAUGGUGAUGAUGAUGAUGAUGAUGAAGAGAGGUCAAAAAGUCAGCAUAGCUUGCCACACGCCCACCUUCAAUAAGGCUAAUUUUAAUUCAUAUCUCUCCCACCACUCCCUUUACUAUUUGUUCAUUUGAUACGAACUUUAAAAGACAUUCUGUAAGUAUAACAUAUAAGCGAAAGUAAAUGUGUGUUCAAUAGACUCUAAAAGAAUUCAAUUCAGUGACUACGUUAAUAGACAUUUGCACCUGGAUUUGCAUUGUGAAAAGAUUUUCUUUGGUUCUUUCCUCUCCGCCCCUCCCCCUGCCCCAUCUUCAAUGAAUCUUCAGUUUGCUUUUGCUUUUUUUAUUUAAAUUUGUUCAUACGAUAUAUUUUUAUCAUGUUUUCCUCUCUCCCAACUCCUUCCAGAUCCUCCCCCUCCCUACCCAACCAGCUUCAUGUACACUCCUUUUCUCAAAAAAAAAAAAAAAAAAAAAAACUGAAAUGAAAGCAAGCAAAUAAAAUAACAAUACAACAAAAAAAAUGUCAAAAUGAAACAAAAAUCACACACACACACACAAAAAAUGGGAUCCAUUUUGUGUUGGCCAAGGGUGGGUGAUAUGAUAUUCCACUGGAGAAAACUGAGUUUCCUGUUCCUAACAGGUACCAAUUGAAAACAGGAUCUUGGGGAGGGAUGGAGCUUUGCAUCCACUUCCCCUUUUCAGUGCUGGGCUUGAACGGUGCUGGGCUUGCAGGUGCUAUUGCAGUUUGUGAGUUCGUAUUUGCCUCCAUCUUGUUGUUCCUGGAAGGCCUUUUCCUUGGAGUUCACCACUUCCUGCUUUCCUUGGAGUCCACCACUUCCUGCUCUUACAAUCUUUCUGCCUCCUCUUCCACAUAGAUUCCUGAUCCUUGGCGGAUGGGGCAUAAUAAAGACAUCCCAUUUAAGAUAAUAAAGACAUCCCAUUUAAGACCAAGUGCUCCAAAACCCCUUACUCUAUGCACAUUGUCUAGCUGUGGGUUUCUGUGUGAAUUGUGGGAAGGUUUUAAAUGACAGAUUACCAGGGGUGUGUGUGUGUGUGUGUGUGUGUGUGUGUGUGUGUGUGUGUUGUAAACCCAGAGCACAUGGCAAAUGAACAUUGUUUCACUGAGCUAUGUCACCAGUCUGCCAAAUUUUUUUCUGAGAUGGGGGAAUCUUACUAUGCUGCCCUGGCUGGUCUAGAACUCCCAAACUCAAGUGAACCUCCACCUAAUCCUCAGAGUAUCUGGCCCCAUAGGCACAGGCUCUGUGUAGCCCAGGAUGAUUGGGGACUUUAAUCUCAAGUGCUGAGAUGAACAGACAUGCUCCACUGUGCCUGGCUCGUUCUUAAUGUUAUUUACAGCUUAGGAUGUAUUCUAUUCUAGGAAAUGCCCUGUAUGCCCUUGCAAAGCAUGACUAAUCCAUGCACAUCAACUGGGUGGGGCUGGUAAAAGAAGUCCAAACCUUGUAAAUUGUUACUGGAUUGGAUCUCAUAUUCUAUCAGUUCCUGAAAAGGGCUUUCUUAAAUUCUCUACUGUGGCCACAGACCAGAAACAACCCCCAAACUCUACAGAAGAUGGAUGGGUAAAUAAAUGCAGUACCUCAACAAUAGAAUACUUCUCCACAGUAAAGAGAAGAGCUAGUAUUGAAUACGACUUGACUGUUUCUUGGCUGCACUACACAAAAGACUCUUCUUACAUGAUGUCCUAGGAAAGAGAAAACCGCAGGGGUGGAAAUGGAUCUAUGGUUUCCAGGAUUGGUGGUAGGGAAAAGCUUAACGAGCAUGGCAGAAACCUUUAGGGGUGACAAACUGCACCUGUCUCUUCAUUGGUAGGGCUGAUCACAUGAUCCCAUACACCAAAAAGAGCACAUUUUGCUGUGUGUGGAAUUAUUAAAAAUUAUUUUAAUUAUUAUAAAAUAAAUUAUUAAACUUUCCAAUGUGGACCCCA